rnacentral:sRNA from 1 species
AAACAAAUCCGGCAAAUUCGCACACACGUCGGCACGUUGUCCCAGGGUGCCUGCUCCUGUUGCUCACAUAACAAGCAUCGGGUUCAGGUUGGGUCAAUCGGACGUGUGGAGGACUAAC